GGGGCGGUGGCGGAAUAGGCAGACGCAGCGGACUUAAAAUCCGCCGGUAGAGAUACCUUGUGGGUUCAAGUCCCACUCGCCCUA
rnacentral:tRNA from 1 species